rnacentral:rRNA from 1 species
UACGUAGGUGGCAAGCGUUGUCCGGAAUUAUUGGGCGUAAAGCGCGCGCAGGCGGUUUCUUAAGUCUGAUGUGAAAGCCCACGGCUUAACCGUGGAAGGUCAUUGGAAACUGGGAGACUUGAGUGCAGAAGAGAAGAGCGGAAUUCCACGUGUAGCGGUGAAGUGGGUAGAGAUGUGGAGGAACACCAGUGGCGAAGGCGGCUCUUUGGUCUGUAACUGACGCUGAGGCGCGAAAGCGUGGGGAUCAAACAGG